rnacentral:pre_miRNA from 1 species
ACCGCUGAGCCAUCUCUCCAGCCCCCAUAGUACUUUUAAAUGUAUAUUUUUCUGCUAAAAAAAAGACAUAAAUGAAAAACGCCAGUGUCGGGCUGGAGAGAUGGCUCAGCGGU